UCACUUACCUGAAUGGCGUCAAUGGGCUAUCAAGAAGGCUCGUGGCCUACAUCAUCAGCCUCCAUUGCACUUGGGAGGUGCAUCAGCCUAAGUCUACUCACUGUUGCAGAGCCUACAUCAUAAUUUGUGGCGCGGGGGCCUGAAUUCACGCGGCCCCUCC